GCCCAUACAAAACAACCCCAAACCUAGAAAACAUAACUCUAGAAGACCAGAUAACUAAGCACUCGAAACCAUUGCAGCGCGGGCGAUUCUUCUAGCAGUUGGAGCUGGAGCGAAACAACUGGAAGGGACGAGAAGGAAGUUUCCACAACAAACAAGAGAAACUGUCUCCUUACUAGAGCCACCACCUUAAACUCGAACCCAGCCAAACUCUAAACCUCUAGAGUCAACAAAACGCCACUAGCAACAACAACCAUCAAACGGGUUAAUGGCUGAUAAGUCACGGCC
rnacentral:misc_RNA from 1 species